UACAGAGACUGCAAGCGUUAUUCGGAUUCACUGGGCGUAAAGGGCUCGUAGGCGGCCAACUAAGUCAGACGUGAAAUCCCUCGGCUUAACCGGGGAACUGCGUCUGAUACUGGAUGGCUUGAAUCCGGGAGAGGGAUGCGGAAUUCCAGGUGUAGCGGUGAAAUGCGUAGAUAUCUGGAGGAACACCGGUGGCGAAGGCGGCAUCCUGGACCGGCAUUGACGCUGAGGAGCGAAAGCCAGGGGAGCAAACGGG
rnacentral:rRNA from 1 species